rnacentral:lncRNA from 1 species
AAAACCCUAGGACACCUUUAAAAGGUAGCCUAGUCGCCGCCUCCUAAAAGCCGUUGGAAAUCGCCGGCCACCACCACCCUAGGAAUCUUCUUCGACCUUAAUACACAUAAGAAUACAAGACGAGAAAACCCCUGAACAAAAUGGCUCCCCCUUCCUGAUUCGAAUCUACUGCCAGAGCACUCUCCGGCCGCCACCGCCAGCUCCUUCAUCACCAAACUCGUCCAAAAAUCGGCGGCCCAAAGAGCAGCGCCAUCCCUUCUUCACCUUCCCGCUGCCCUUUUUUUUUAAUUUGCUAAAGAAUUAUUGUUCCAAGAUCAAAUCCAAGGAUUCUGAGGUUAGAUUUUUAGAUAUUAAUAUAAAAUGAACAAAACAUCCAUUAGAGUGGAAUGAUUUCUAGUAUAUAAAUCCUAUGCAUUGAGGAUGAAGGGAGGCUUAAAGGUGCGGCUGAGGAAAAUUAGAUUCUUCAAGCUGAAUAACUCUAUUUUCUUUUCCGUUGGUGAACUUUUCUGGGAAAUAUCUAGUUCCUAAGCAGUUUAAGUCGUUGAAGUCGGAGAGAAAAGAUGUGUUCUUUACUAGAAGAACUGAGAAGCUGUUCAAAAGCUCUAGAUUUACUGUACAUUGUGAUGAUUCGAGUGGAAAGUGACAGUGUAGUCUAGCUAGAAUUUCGUUUGAUUCAAGGUUGAUUCGGGCUCGAAUUCGAGGUUGCCAACGAGGUCUGCGGCUCAAGGUUCAGUCCCUGUUUUCAUUUUUCGGUCAAAUUCAAUUCGCCGGAGUUUACUGUAACCAAGUUCUCAUCUAAUACAAAGCCAUCAAUUAUUG